rnacentral:rRNA from 1 species
UAUUGGUCAAUGGACGCGAGUCUGAACCAGCCAAGUAGCGUGAAGGAUGACUGCCCUUUGGGUUGUAAACUUCUUUUAUAUGGGAAUAAUGUUUUCCACGUGUGGGAUUUUGUAUGUACCAUAUGAAUAAGGAUCGGCUAACUCCGUGCAAGCAGCCGCGGUAAUACGGAGGAUCCGAGCGUUAUCCGGAUUUAUUGGGUUUAAAGGGAGCGUAGGUGGACAGUUAAGUCAGUUGUGAAAGUUUGCGGCUCAACCGUAAAAUGGCAGUGGAAACUGGCAGUCUUGAGUACAGUAGAGGUGGGCGAAAUUCGUGGUGUAGCGGUGAAAUGCUUAGAUAUCACGAAGAACUCCGAUUGCGAAGGCAGCUCACUGGACUGUUGACUGACACUGAGGCUCGAAAGUGUGGGUAUCAA